ACGCUGGCGGCGUGCCUAACACAUGCAAGUCGAACGGGGUGAUUUCCUUCGGGAGAUCGCUUAGUGGCGAACGGGUGAGUAACGCGUGAGGAACCUGCCUUUCAGAGGGGGACAACAGUUGGAAACGACUGCUAAUACCGCAUAACACAUCGAGGGGGCAUCCUUUUGAUGUCAAAGAUUUAUCGCUGAAAGAUGGGCUCGCGUCUGAUUAGAUAGUUGGUGGGGUAACGGCCUACCAAGUCGACGAUCAGUAGCCGGACUGAGAGGUUGAACGGCCACAUUGGGACUGAGAUACGGCCCAGACUCCUACGGGAGGCAGCAGUGGGGAAUAUUGCACAAUGGGCGAAAGCCUGAUGCAGCAACGCCGCGUGAGGGAAGACGGUUUUCGGAUUGUAAACCUCUGUCUUUGGUGAAGAUAAUGACGGUAGCCAAGGAGGAAGCCACGGCUAACUACGUG
rnacentral:rRNA from 1 species